CGCAUCGACCUGGUAUUGCAGUAC
rnacentral:piRNA from 3 species